rnacentral:lncRNA from 1 species
CUGGCCUGUUAGUCCAGGGUCUGCCCCACCCACUAGAGCACGGAUUUAAUCCAGCUCAAUCAGGGAAGGCAGCCUGCCCUAUGGACUGGCCCCGCCCAACAGUAAGCCCUCAGAUAACUUGUGGGCCUGCCUAGGUUGGGUGCCUUGAUCCUCUGCAGCUGGGUUUGUGCUAAGAAAAUGCCUUCAACAAACAAAGUGGCUCCAGUGGGUUUCCAGUCCCUGGGGAGAGGGGAGAAAGAGAGAAAAGAAUCACUUUCUUAAGGGGAAAAGUACAGCAGCCAUGCCAUUCUGAGGAUUUACUACAGGAUUAAAUAAACUUCUCCACUUGAGGGGGACAUGUUUGUGCUGAAGGAAUAACAUAUUAUUACUUUUUUUGGAGGCAAAAAACACUGAGGAGGUGACAGGACUGCCUCUAGACUGCAAAGCAAGGAGAAAGCAGAUCCAGGAGCGAUUGCCUGGACAUUAUUUGGUCUUUCAAUCAGCAAAUCUGGGUAGGAAAAGAGAACCACUGUGGGAUUUCAAUCAAGAUGAGAAUUCAUACAGGUUAUUAGAUGCUUACAGAAUCAUUACAAGUGCUGAGGGAGCGAAGGUCAGGGAAAAUUUCCACCAGCUUCCAGGGAAUCAGAAAGUUGCAGAAAACUACCAACAAUGAUUUUAGCGGAUGGCAGCAUUAAAGCAGGUUCAUGUUAAACAAUACAUAGACAAAUUUGGGUAGACAUCUGGCCUCGAUUGUUUGUACCUGGCUGUUGCUGUUAAGACCCUGAAUAAGCAAAACCAACAAGAACUGACUCAUUGGAACUGAAUAUCCUGGACAUCAAUUACUAGAGGCAGAAAUCAGUUGCGUCUUUAAAGACUUUAUUGCAACUUCCAUGCAAUGAAGAAGGGAAGCUCCUACUGUACCUUCACAACCAAGCUUCCAGCAACGUCAGCUGUAUGAUUCUCGUAACCGCUGGGCCUUACAACGUUGGCAAAGAUUUUGGAAAGAAAAUAUUGUGAAAGCAUUAUAACCAGAAAAAAAAAUGUACAUAUUGGAUUGCCAGAUAAACUGACGGUGAGGGGAAGCUGUCCAGCCGUAUUAAAGACAGCAGGAGGAGGUCAGCUGAGUGCUUACGCUGUCG